GACGAAGCGUGCAAACGUUACUCGGAAUCACUGGGCAUAAAGGGCGCGUAGGCGGCUUGACAAGUCAGGGGUGAAAUCCGGCAGCUUAACUGUCGCAGUGCCUUUGAUACUGUCGAGCUCGAGGGAGGUAGGGGUCUGUGGAACUUCCGGUGGAGCGGUGAAAUGCGUUGAUAUCGGAAGGAACGCCGGUGGCGAAAGCGACGGACUGGAUCUCUUCUGACGCUGAGGCGCGAAAGCCAGGGGAGCAAACGGG
rnacentral:rRNA from 1 species